GAGCGAACCGGAUUAGAUACCCGGGUAGUCCCGGCUGUAAACGAUGCGGGCUAGGUGUUGGGUGGGCUUUGAGCCCACCCAGUGCCGCAGGGAAGCCGUUAAGCCCGCCGCCUGGGGAGUACGGCCGCAAGGCUGAAACUUAAAGGAAUUGGCGGGGGAGCACCACAAGGGGUGGAGCCUGCGGUUUAAUUGGAGUCAACGCCGGGAAUCUUACCGAGGGCGACAGCAGGAUGAAGGCCAGGCUAACGACCUUGCCAGACACGCUGAGAGGAGGUGCAUGGCCGUCGCCAGCUCGUGCCGUGAGGCGUCCGGUUAAGUCCGGCAACGAGCGAGAUCCCCACCCCCAGUUGCGAUCCCGAUCCCUGGAUCGGGAGCACACUGGGGGGACUGCCGCCGAUAAGGCGGAGGAAGGAGGGGGCCACGGCAGGUCAGCAUGCCCCGAAUCCCUCGGGCUACACGCGGGCUACAAUGGUGGGGACAGCGGGUGCCGACCCCCGAAAGGGGAAGGCAAUCCCUGAAACCCCGCCGUGGUUGGGAUCGAGGGCUGUAACUCGCCCUCGUGAACGUGAAUCCCUAGUAACCGCGCGUCAACAUCGCGCGGUGAAUACGUCCCUGCUCCUUGCACACACCGC
rnacentral:rRNA from 1 species